UACGUAGGGGGCAAGCGUUGUCCGGAUUUAUUGGGCGUAAAGCGCUCGCAGGUGGUUCGUCGCGUCGUGCGUGAAAGACCCCGGCUCAACUGGGGGAGGUCGUGCGAUACGGGCGAACUGGAGGCCAGUAGGGGGAUGCGGAAUUCCGGGUGUAGUGGUGAAAUGCGUAGAGACCCGGAGGAACACCAGUGGCGAAGGCGACACGCUGGGCCAUACCUGACGCUAAAGCGCGACAGCAUGGGGAGCGAACGGG
rnacentral:rRNA from 1 species